ACGUAGGGGGCGAGCGUUGUCCGAAGUUACUGGGCGUAAAGCGCGCGUAGGCGGGGGGUUAAGUGAGAGGUGAAAGGCUGGGGCUCAACCUCAUGCAGUGCCUCUCAUACUGGUCCUCUUGAGGGCGGUAGGGAGAAGUGGAAUGGCUGGUGUAGCGGUGAAAUGCGUAGAUAUCUGGAGGACCACCGGUGGCGAAGGCGGCAUCCUGGACCGGUAUUGACGCUGAGGCGCGAAAGCCAUGGGAGCAAACGGGA
rnacentral:rRNA from 1 species